UUCCUUCUCCUUUAUGACUAUUUUUGGGACAGGGUAUUGCUAUGUAGUCCUGCCUAUCCUAGUAUUCCAUAUGUAGCUGAAACUGGCCUCUAACUCAUGGCAAUCCUCUUGCCUCAGCUUC
rnacentral:miRNA from 14 species